rfam:Aequorivita sublithincola DSM 14238, complete genome.
AAGGAGGAAGCCGAAAAUCCUGUAUUAAAUAGAGUAGGCA